rnacentral:rRNA from 1 species
CACGUAGGGACCAAGCGUUGUCCGGAUUCAUUGGGCGUAAAGAGCUCGUAGGCGGUUCGAUAAGUCGGGUGUGAAACCUCCAGGCUCAACCUGGAGACGCCACCCGAUACUGUCGUGACUAGAGUCCAGUAGGGGAGCGUGGAAUUCCUGGUGUAGCGGUGAAAUGACGCAGAUAUCAGGAGGAACACCAGCGGCGAAGGCGGCGCUCUGGGCUGGAACUGACGCUGAGGAGCGAAAGCGUGGGGAGCGAACAGG